GGUUGAUCCUGCCAGCAAUCAUAUGCUUGUCUCAAAGAUUAAGCCAUGCAUGUCUAAGUAUAAGUAAUUAUACAGCGAAACUGCGAAUGGCUCAUUAUAUCAGUUAUAAUCUACUUGAUGAUUCUAUUCUACAUGGAUAACUGUAGGAAUUCUAGAGCUAAUACAUGCCAAAGGACUGGACCGGGGGUAACCUUGGGAAGGUCGCGUUUAACAGCGGAGAAACUAAUAUGGGACGCAAGUUCCAUUUUAAAAGAUGAUUCAUGUUAAGACUUUC
rnacentral:rRNA from 1 species